CCCAUCUUUAAAGACGAUCGAACUGAAUAUUUUGCUGAUUAAAGAAGACGAAUCAUCUCGAUCUCGAUGCGUUAUCGAUCUCUCUCGCGUAUCAAAAGUGACCUAUUAUACGCAUCAUCGUCAUUCUUGCCUCUUCGGAAACAGACGUCGGGGACAACGCGAGGUGGGUCCACUUGCCAAUUAACGAACUUAUAAUUAGCACACAGUGGUGACAACUUUCUCGUGCUGGGAUUACAAGUUUCCUUCCUGGCCGGAAGCGCGUGCUUUGUUGCAAACAUUGGAUAAUGACGGUUACGUCCUUCCGACGUAACCGUUCUGCCGUGUUGUGCACCCUUGUUUCCAGGUGCGACGGCCAUGUUAUUUCCGCUCGUCUCCUGUCAAUUUGAUUCUUUUUUUUUUACCAUGGAUUCUUUUAAGAAGUUCGAAAAUAUUCGAAUCUUGUUGAUUAUUUUUUAAUAGUAUUAUUUUUAGAAGUAAUCGAAAAUAUAAAUUAUAAAAGUUGUUAGAUACAUUUUUCAUAUUGCUGUAUGCAGAACAUUAUGCAUUCAGUGAUUAAUUAACUCUAUAAUCCAUAAUUUUUUUGAAAAAAACUUUCUGAUUACACCUCAUUUGUCGCAAAUAAUAUAUUUGUAAAAGAUAGCAUAAACUAUAUCGUGAAAGAUAUAAAAGUUAGAGAAGAGUCGUCAAUUUUACAAAUGUUCGAAAAAUAUUUCUAUAAUCGAUUGUAAUUUUCUUUCUUUUAUAUGUAGAGAGAAGAAUAGAAAAAACUGGAUUGCAGGGAUGGAUAAUUAUUUCUUUUUGGAAAAUUAUCUUUCUAUUCCCAAUGGAGAAAAAUCACUCGACUGCCAUUAUUGAAUUUUUGCAUAGUACAAGCUACCAGAAUUUCGAUACCAUUUCCUCGAAUCCAAACUAUAAUUUCCGGUCCUGGCUCUCCUUAACCAGUGGAGAACUAGCCAGAAACUUUCGUCCCUGCGCCGAACAGUUUCAAAUUCGGGAACAUUCUUAGAGAAUUUCCAUACCCGCCCUCUUAAUCGAAUCUUCGACUUGGCCGAAUUGAGCUUUGGCCAGAGUCUAUUCGCAACUUCUUUUCCAAUUUACUCUCCCAAUAAGUAACAGUGAAAAAUAUUUCGAAAAAGAAUCGAGCGGAUUAAUUAUUCAAUCGAUCCAAUUAUUAUUACUCUUCGCAAAAUCUGCUCAAACUUAAUUCACCGUAAAAUUAAAAUAUCGCUAAAGUUGCAAGAAAGUUUGCUCGACGAAUUAUUAUUUCGAAAACUUCCCACCCCCGAAAAACGAAACCCUUUGAAUCGCCGUGACGAGCAUUGUUCGAAACGAGCGGCGUCGACUUAAACCGUAAACCGGAAUAUUCGUUAAUCCACGGAGCAAAAUCGGCGUCCGUAUAAAAUCGGGAGAUCGCCGGGCGGAUCUAAGCCAAGGUGGCGAAAAGCCGGACGGAUUAUAGGAGGGGACGAUAAUGGAGGACGGUUUCGCGAGGAAAAAGGGGGGCGAUUAAAGCAUACUUCCUCCCCCGUCUCGCGACACUUUGUAACGAGAAUGGAUGCGGGCGAGUCUGGGAACACGACGCUUAAAGUUGAAACAAACUUCCACUCUCCCUCCCCUCGAAGGUCUUUUCCAGUUGUUGGGCGGAUACGCUUGCCUAUGGAGCGGGACGACAAGGAAAAUGGAAAUGUUGGGUGUGUGUAUUCUUUGAGGGGCGCGCUCGAGAGGAACGAAGAGGGUUAAAAUAAAAGAGCCGGUAAUUGAAUAAAUGUUACGAUCCGAUGUUACGUUCUGGAUAAAGGGAGAGGGAGAGGGAGGCUUGUUCGUGGAGAAUGGAUAGGCAAACGUGGUGGUGGAAGAUAGUUUUCUCGUAUCGUUUUAGAUUUUAAUGGAAUUCGAGCGCGUGUGUGAAGGCGCGUCGUUUUUGAGGAAAUUUUGCAGGGCGAGAAUCACGGUGGCACAUAAAAGCAAGAAUGGAAUAAUAUAAUCCUUUUUUGUGUCGAUAAACGAGUAUCACGUAUGAAACAAUUUAAGAGAGACUAAUUAUAUUCGAAAGGAAGUCAAUAAGUAAGUUUAAUCGAUUGAACCUUUCAAAAUAAUUUCCUUAUGAUUCUUAGCACCCAUUAUUUGAUCUUCCAGUUGAGAUUGACUUCUUUUGAAGGCAGACACAUCUGACACAUCUCUUUAUGAGAAAUUAACAACAAACGGAAGAAGAGACGAAAGAGCGGAUCGUUGGUUGUUCCAUUUUUGUUUUUUUCGUAGUAGAGGGCACGCGAUUCGAUCGCAUUUCCCUUUAAAAUGGCGUUGCGAUAAACGCGAACGGUGGCCGAAUGUUGGUUUCGCGCGGAAUCGCUUCUAGGAAACCGGAAAUGAAGCCGCGCCACCCUCCCCGCUGAUCUGCAUUUGAAACGAGCAGCCGCGACGUUGCUCUUGUCAUUUACCUUUAUUGCCCCGAUCGUGUAACCCUUCUUAACAAGUUGCAACUUGUCCCCGUUGUGUUCCUUUCCGAUGUAAAACGCAACUUCCGAUUCCCUCCUUUAUUCCCCAUCCGUUUCUUUCUGGGUGAAAUUAAAUUUGUCGCGCGUUAUGGAUGAUAAUAUCGGAUAUAUAUCGUUUCGAAUCGAAGCGAAAAUAAUUUAUUUAUUUAUUUAUUUUUUUUGAGAAAAUUUAUCUCGAAACGAAUGGAAUGAUGAAUUAUCCUUUUAAAUAUAACAAAUGUUUGUUUCGAUAAUAACGAAAAUUUUCCAAUUUUCGCAAGAAAUUCGCAAAAAUUCAAAGAGGAAAUGUUCAAACUGAAUAAAAUGAAACGUAUUGAAACGUAACAUCCUUCUAGAAAAUCUUUUAAAAUUCGUAUAUCCUCGAAUUCUUAUAUUACAUCCAAUAUAUAAUCCCGAGGCUCGUAAAGAUUUAUAUAUUCUCUUCUCCGAUUUCUUUUUUCCUAUUUUUUUUCAACACCGUCAUUCCAAGCUUUCUUUAAAAAGAUUUAAUUUCCAUGCGAUCGAAUCGGCAUGGAAAUUUUCCAAUUCACGAAUAAUCUUCGAACCUAUAUUUAACUUGGGAAAAAUCUUUGAUCGAUCGACGAGCCUAUCUCGAUACUAAUAUACAACAAUACAAUCGCUCUUCUUUACUAUUUUCAACUUAGAAUAAUUGUCAAAUAUGUUGCAGAUCAAAAAUUGGAGGUUGAAUUUUAUUUUACGCAAGUUAAGAUAAAAGAUAAAAUGAAAAUAUGUAUUUCGUAUUUUUUAAGAUAACCGAUUACAAAAAGAGAAUUAAAUUUCUGAACUAAUCUUUUUCAAAAUUUUUCGAAGCGAUUUAAUAAUAAGAUGGAAGACAAUCGAAAUUAAUAAUAUAUAAAGGAAAAAAGAACCUACCAUCUUUUUCCACCCAUCGCAAUUAUCUCCAGUCUACUUGUCCUUUAACUAACCAGCAAGAUCGUGUUGCUGCGGAAUAUUAAUUACGUCGCUGAAUCUUUACUAAUUAACAUCUUUUUUCUUUCUCUCCCCCUCCCUCUCGAAGGAUAAACCCGAAGCAACGACGAGCGCCUCGCCUUUGAGACAGUAAUUCGAUGGUAGUGUGAAUAAUUAGCGCACAUUCUUUAUGUAUCUCGCUUACGUAUUCUAUUUUCCCUUCGUUUCCCCUAUUUUUCGUGCAAGUUCGUUGCCCACCUCGUCAAUUUCACGACGCUAUUCCACUCCGCCAUCCACUUUCCAUUCAUUACUUAUUCCACCUCUUAUUUUCGCCGUUUCCUCCGGAGCCCGCCCAUUCCGAAAUUCAAAUUGAUAGAGCCGAGCAAGGGAUAAGAGCCACUAAAAAACAGGUACGUAGAUCGUUUCGAAAUUAGACAAUGGUGCUUCGACAUUUUCUUAAUUCCUCUUUUUUUUCUUUUCUUAAUUUUUUUUAGCUCGAGUUCAGAAAUGGGAUCAAAGAUUCUUUCGGAUUGGAUCGGAAGAAAUUGUAGCAAAAUUUUUUUUUCUACCAAAGAUAUAAAAUUAGAGACUAAUUCUUAAAUAGCGUGAUCGAAACGAUCGAGAGAAAGAGAGUGCAUGUGUCUGAACACUCUCGAGACAAUAUGUAUUGCAAUGUUUAUCUCGUUACAGGGAGAAGCGAGGUACCUUCAAAGAGUUCCGUUUAAGAGCUCCAUUAGACGCGUCAUCAGAGAAUCUUUGCGGAAGUUACGUCACGUUGAGAAGCAUCGAUCUAGUUAUCGCAGCCUGAAUACUUUCUGUGGAUCGUAUUCUCAGAUACGAGAUGCGGUUUAAUGCGAGUAAAUGUCUCGGUUUAUGGACGUAGAAAUGGCUGGGCGAGGCGGAUUUAUGGAGUUUACUUGGAAAAAUUUCCCCUCUGAUGAAAUCCGGCCGAUUGUAUUGAAAAUGAAAUAGAUCGAUUACAUUUGAACUGAUAUUACUCUUUCGAUUUUUAUUCGAACAAAAUUGAAUAUAAAUUAUGACGUAAUUUCUCGUAAUCGAAGAAAAUAUUUUACAAUUUACAACCAAGAUGACUCUCCAAAUCGUGGCAACCUGUUGUGUUUGCAAUCUUUGCAAAAUUGUACCAAUGAAAUUUCGUUCCAAUUCGCUCGGCAUGAUUCGAUCUUGUCAAACACAGGGAAAUUUGCCAUACAAAUUGAGCGAGUUAAUCAAAAAUGCAGUGACGAAGUAACACAAAAAAAAAAAAUCUUAUGACGCACGCAUCCACGUACCUAAAAAUUGAAAAGUUAAUCGAAAAAUAUCCCCCACGAGUAAGUACAACAUCCGUGUUAAAUUUUUUAUCCCGAUAAAAUUAAGCGUAUUUAGUUUUAGAGUCCAAGUUAACGCGUUUUACACGAGUUUUUCAGUUUUCACCCUUUGUUUUUUGUUCAAAAAAGAAAAGAAAGAGAGAGAGAGAGAGAAUAAUGGGCGAGGAAGGAUACGUUCACAUACGUUCAUGGUGUUUUUCACGAUUCGUAGUGUCUGCACGAGAUGUUAAUCCAGUUUUGUAAAGCAAGUGGAAGUUUCGUGCAAGCUUAACGCGGUAAAAAAUCGAAUUAGGCGAUUAUUCAGGGUCCGCGGCGCGUUCCCCUAAUUUGCAUUUCACACAGCGAAAUUUCCAUAACUAUAAGAAUAUCAAGGAGCGAGUGGUAUAAAACAUGUCCAACAUCACGGGAAAUGCGCUCCACGUUUACUUUUUCUUUUUUUUUUUUUUUUCUUUUUAUUUUUAUUUUCAGGGAUCACGUCCUACUUACGUGAGAUACAUUUAUCCCCCUGUAUAUAUUUCUAUAACACGUACAAGAUUUCAAUUUGAUUUACUUUUUUUAUAUACUGCAGCGCGGAAAUCGUUACUACUACCUGUUCCCUUUGCAACAAAGUUUCCCCGAUAAAAAUAAAAAUAAAAAUAACGAAAAUGUCGAGUAAGCGCCAUAGUAAAAAAAAAAAAAAAAAAAGAGGGAAGAUGAAAUUCUAUAUCGAAAGAUACGAAAUUUUAAAGUACAUGUAUCAAAUCGUUUAUAAAUUUAUUCCAUUCCAAUUUCUACUAACGUAACGCUAAGCAAUCGUCCAAUAAGAUAAUUACUCGAUAACCACGCUCUCCAAUUCCCUAGCCUCAAACUUGGGUAUUCACGCGCCUCGCCUAAGCAUUUCCCGGAGGAGAAAUACCGGUACAAUUACUUAUUUCGCGUUCUCCGACCUCGUUAAGAAGUUGGGCCGCCAAAUUUUGCAACCCCCGACACGCUCUGCGAAUUGUUGGAGAGCGUCUUUGGGAGAAUUUCUUCGUCAUUGAUUGCGAGGAGGCGCGCGAGAUUUGAUUAAUAAUAAACGGUGGUUCGAAAAACGAAGUUUCUUCUGGGAGAGGAAGAAGAGGAGGAGGAGGAGGAAAGUACAGGGGAAUCGGGCAAAUCGGGAUAAUUAAGAGGAUCGCUAACUGGCAAGCGUCGAAAGUUAGCGUGGAGGAAGGAUCGUUGAGGAAAUUACCUAAUUCGCGGCAAUCGGUCCCCAAGGUGAUACAGAGGGACUGUAAUCAAUGAAAUUGGAACACCCCUGGGCGAUAUACUUUGAAUUACACAUCGAGACGUGGUACGAUUAACGAGCGUGAUUUUGAGCUUGUUAUUUUGCCGAUACUGGCUUCUUAUAAAUUAGUCUCGUACCGAAUUGGUUACUUUAAUUGGUGGAAGAGUAUAUAGAGAGUACCGGUUUUACCAGUGUUGUAACGUAUCGGAUCGUGUUAUAAAUAUUCGAUUGAACGUUACGGUAAGUUGAUAAAGAUUGACCAAUAAUUGAUCUAUGGCUGGAAGAAUAUAUGGGUGGUUUAAUCGGUGGUUGACCUAUACCAUUUUGGUCAAAUGAUUGUGGAUAUAUUGCUGAUUGACCUAUACUUGCCUCGCCAAUGGCUGGCUUGUAUCACUGACCUGAUUAAUGGACAAUAUUAUUCUACUUGUCCGGCAAAUAAUUGAUCAAUGUUAUUUGCGAAAAAUAUAAUAUUGAGAUGAAAUAUAAUAUCGAGUGUACAAAGUUUCGAUCUGAAUUUUAAGUUUGAUGAAAAUAAAGGAUCAGAAUUUUCUGAAAGAUUCCGAUGUGUCUGUUAAUAAAUAUUAAUAAUUUACGUUGUCUUUUUCUUAGCUCAGAGGUUUAAUCUUUGAUCAAUUUUUAAAUUAUUCCAACGAGUUUAAAAAUAGUUUGAACAAACUUGCUUGAAUUUCUGCGAUUUCUCAUGUAUUUUCGAAAUUUAAUUCCAUUAACCGUAUUAUAUGAAAAUAUAAAUAUACCUUAAAUCUUAACGUUUCUUUCAAAUCAACUAUUCAUUAAUUAUUUAUUUUUAAAAUCAAAUAAACCGAAUAAAUAAAUAUUAAUCGUUUCACGAAAAGGAUAUUGGCAUAAAUUUCACACCGAACUCGUAUUUCCGCAACGUGGUUGAACAAGAAAAUUGAAAAAUUCCUACGACAAUAUAAAUAUUCCAAAAAAACCUUGCUGCCCUUUAAAACGAGUUUAAACAAAAAUAUAUGUGAAAAAAAAAUAUAUAUCAAAAAUCCAGUUGCAAAAUUCCAUAAAUAUCCAUUUCCAAAACGAUCCAUCCUCGCCAUCAUCGCUAAAAAACAAACUACACCCCCUCCACAAUCCCUUUUUUCCACUCUUCCUAAAAAAAGAAAACCAUUCGCGUAUCGCAACAUUCUCGCUCGAAUUCCGCACGAUUCAACCAAAUCUCGACGUUAAAUUCCUGAAGGCUGGAACGGCGACACUUUACAGCGAUAGCGUACACCAGUAUCAGUCGUGCAAUUGGAAUCCCGAUUCGGGGUUUCGAAGUGGAGGAGUGUGCAGGGCUCGAGAAUCAAUUUGCAUUCAAUAAUCCACGAUCGUUAAGUCGGAUAUGUUCGGCGGAGCGUGGAGAGCGGGAGCCAGGGCCCGGAAAUCGGCACUGGGAUUAGACGCUUUGUCGGCCGAUAAGACGCCCACCUUUCGGCCUGGUCGGCCCCGGUUUGCUUAUGAAUGGCGGCCACGCUCCACGAUUCAAUGCGUGCCUGUAAACGACCGCAUUCAACGGCCAUCUAUGCGCCCAUUCAACCGUGUUCGACGAACUUGUCGCUCACCGUCGAGCAACUUGCGAACGGCCAACACCUUCCAAACCUUGUUACAAACCGAGAAAUGGGAUAAGAAGUUUGGAACGAUUGGCAACGCUCUCGUGGAACAACGUGAGUGGAAGCAGCGAUUUAGCACAACAAUUCUAUCUUUUUUACCUCUGAAUUGAAGAAAUUUGGAACUAUCGAAUUUUGAAAUUUCUUCCUUUGUGUCCUCAGAUCGAUUAAUUAUUUGGUUUUUAAUUAGUUUUAUAAUCAGUGUACUGGAUUCAUGAGAUGAAGGAUGAAGAAUGAGAUGUUGGAGUUUUGAAUAUUUAAGGUGAAAAUUGGAGGAAAUAAUAUAGAGAAAUUUGCAUUUUUUCCCAAUGAUUUAUUCAUUACUUCGUGUUACAAGAUAAGGCUAAUAUAAUAGCAAGGCUUUUCGCGUGCAAUUUGAGUUUCGUUACAUGGAUGCGAAAUGCUUGUCAUGUGCCGAAGUGCAUAAUAUUCAAAUAGAUUACGUGAAUUACAAGAGCACGUAGCGAGACAUGUGAUUACACUGCUAUUUUCUUAAUCGAUUAUCUUCUAUUACUACCAUCGAGACGCGCGUUUAAACGCGGGUCGCUCGUUAGAAUUUUUUUUUUUCUUCUUUUUUAUUAUUUUUCUGUAGAUAAGUUAACCCCUUCAGGAAUGAAAAGAUAAUAUAUAUAUAUGAUAAUAUUAAUUACAUUAUCACCGAAUGACGAAUAAUAUCGAAGAAAUUCCGAUUCCUUCGAGAUACAUAAUUUGAAUUAGAUAAAAAUUAUCCCUCAAGAGGUUAAACAGGACGAAUCUUUAUCUAGUUUUACGUUCAAUCGUUCACCCGUUCGGACGAAUUUCUCGUCAAAAAAUCGAACCACACACGCGCGCGCGCACACACACACACGACCAUUCGUUCACUACUGCAUGUACAACUCACGACGAAGUAUUAGAAACGAUAGCGAAAAUAUUAUGUACAGAUUGAUUUCGUAUCGAUGCUAAAUUAUUAAUUAGAACAAUAGUAUAGUUAGUGCCUUAGCGAGUAAUGAAACGGCUGAAGAUGAUAAUGAGAAUUUGUAUUAUUUUAUUUCAUUUUUUUUUGUUUUUUUUUUUAAUUCUUUUCACUCUCGUGAAAAAUAAGUAAAAUAACAAAAUUUUGAAUUACAAAGUGAGAAAUUCUUUCUCCAUUUAAACUUUUACGUAUUUUUAAAUUUAAUUAAAAAGUGUGUGACGUGUCGCGCAAUUUAAAACAGCGUACAUUUAAAAGAUUGAGAGAGGAAUCAUCUUCGAUCGUUUCAAAGGAAAGUUUCAUCGAAUUUUGUGAGAAUUGUUCAGACUAUGUGAUUAAAAAGUUGAAAAAAAAUAAUUGUGGUAUAAAAAUAACGAUAUUUUUAAAGAGGAUGCGUGUUAAUAAUACGCUUCGGUUAUUAAACGGCUUCUAUCCUCAUUUCUUCUUGAAUCUUCUAUCGUAACAAAAUGAUCGAAUCGAUGUGCAUUUUCUGCUGUCUCAACUUCUCAUAGAGAUGCUCCUCUAUCUAUGAAAAUAGAGGCUUUCGUAGGAAGCCAUCAGCAAGAAGAUGAUCAUCUCCGACGUAGCUUGAACCUUUGCCCAUAAACGAGGAUAUAAAGAUACUUAAGAAAGCUACUACGAUCUAUAACCUGAAUGAAAAAUCGAAGAAUUCAAAACGUAGACCUCUUUUUCUUCUCAAAAAUGCUACUCGAAUUAAUUUAAUUUACAUUAAAUCUGUGUUAAUAUAAUAUGAAAUUACCCGAUACGAAUUUCUAAAAAAGAGAAGGAUGUAACAGAAUUUCACAAGUCACCGAAACAAUUUCAUCUUCUAUUGUUCCACAGAAAGUUGUCCACAAAUCCAAAUUUUUCUUCAACUUUUUAAUUUCUCUAACGCAAAUAAUAAUAAUAAUAAUAAUACAUUUCAGAGACUAGAGAAGAAAAUCUAAUGGCAUCUCCGCACGUAAGAAUUCUUCCUUCAAGUUCAACGAAACUUUCCUCUUGAAAUAAUGUACGGCCAACCAUUUUACGAGAAGUGUGUCGUAACGUAUUAAAUAUUAUCGGCAAAUUUCUUUCGCGAGAAACCGCUCAAGGGUUUUCCUUCUUCUUCUUCUUUGUCCCUAGCCGCGGAUAACUAAACGAAAGGCGGCGAAAACGACUCGUGCGUCACAUUCGCGGUAUUCUUUCGAUAUACGAGCAAUAUUUUCGGGAAGAGUCUUGGUCAGCCGUUCCACCGUGAUAGAAACCGCCCACAGCGGUAAAAAUUAUAUUUCAGGAGGGAUUCUCGACGGCCUCCGACCGGAAAGGUUCGUUUUAAAGAGAUUGUCACGCGGUGAAGACUGUUACCGCCGCGGGACAUUCGAAAAGAUGUUCGAAAUGGAAGGUUGCUUUAACAGGAUCUUUGGUCGAUUUGGAUUUUCGAAGAUUUUCGCUUCGAAAUUAAUAUUGUUUCUUGCUUUUGACCAAGAUAGAUUGAUAGAUCGUGGCACAGGGUGGAGAAAUUUUAAAUGCAUAAUUUUGAUCGAUGAAAGAACGUACUUGAGUUAUUUUGAGCGUAAUUUAUGAUGUAUAUGCAUUGCAUUUUAUUAAUUGAUCAAUUUAUAAUCAUUUGCAACAUGCUAGAACACCUCGUGGAAUUAUAGAAAUUAAUUUUUCUACGAUAUCACGCUUAUAAAAUAACAUUAUAUAAAUAUUAUGUUGCAUAUAUGUUACAUUGUAUCAAUAUAAUUGAACCAAGUAUUCGUUAUAUUAUCGCAUCAUAUACUUCCGUUCUAUCAAUCAAUAUUGCACAAGAGUAAUAGCGAUACUCGACGAGUAUUUUCAAAACUCCACCCUUUUCACAAUCGAGCUUCUUCCUUUCUCUCGGAGGCGGGAUCCCGAAAUAUUAUUUCUACUCUCGAGACGGUUCGUUCGACAGCUGCUUGCGAACGAUUUCGAGUGUCGACGAAUGAACGUCACGUCAACAACCACUCGUUUCGACCAACUUUUCGAACGGAUAACACUCUCGCACACGUUACACUUCGAUCGUUUCGAGCAUUCCAUGGACAAGUUUAAGAGGAGGAUAAAGUCUCGCGAGUUGAAUAUUUAAGGGCGAAAAUUUCGGAGGGGGGAAAAAAAAAAGAAAA